UACGUAGGGGGCAAGCGUUGCCCGGAUUUACUGGGCGUAAAGCGCGUGUAGGCGGAAGCGAAAGUCCGGUGUGAAAGCCCCCCGCUCAACGGGGGAGGGUCGCUGGAAACUGCGCUUCUUGAGGGCGGCAGAGGGAAGUGGAAUUGCUGGUGUAGCGGUGAAAUGCGUAGAGAUCAGCAGGAACACCCGUGGCGAAGGCGGCUUCCUGGGCCGCGCCUGACGCUGAGACGCGAAAGCGUGGGGAGCAAACAGG
rnacentral:rRNA from 1 species